rnacentral:lncRNA from 1 species
CUCCAACUCCACCAAUAUGCAUUCAGUUCAAUUGACAUCAGUACGUUCUCCAACACAAAAAAUUUCAAGUUCAAAUCAAUCCACACUUAGUUUUACUUAAUAAGACCUUUAAAAAAAGAAAUUAAACCCCACCAAGAUUUGAAAAAAAGAUAAACUUUUUUUUCUCAACUUUCCAUUUCUUAAAAUAUUAAACAGAAAAAACUUAAUUUUUUUAACCUGGCAAACAUGCCAAAAACUUGAAACCAGCGGGCGAGUGCAUAUGGUCAAGUAAUAGUAAUUAAAUGACAUAAGAGAGGUUGAGCUUGGCCCCUAAGGAUCAAAUUAACAAUUUACCUUCUAUUCUAGAAUUGAAUCAAUUUUGAUCGAAGGAAUCGAAAUCGAUCUUCAGUGAUUGUGUAAACAAAGUACAUGUAAAAAAGUACUAGAUGAAAAUUAGGGUGUAGAUUUGUUACAAACUUCAUUAGGUACUCUUUACACUAAUCAAGGAAUUCCAUGAACAAUAUGCCUACAUCUCAAAACACUAAGAUCCAAAUUAUUUUCUAUGAAAAACAAUCUUUUUCAUACAAUCUUAAACAAUAAUAAGUAACUUCUUCAAACAAAAUUAAAACCCAUGACAUUAAACAUUGUGAUCAAAUAACUUUUACUGUUUUCCUAACUAUAUUUGCAUCAUGAAAGGUUAGUAACAAUCUAAUGAUGUAGAUUUGAUUUGAACGUGCAUCUUAUGGAAUCAAACAUUUAAUCUAACAUUCAUUGAGGCCCAACCGAUAGAAUUCAAGACAUAAUAACAUUGAAAAACAUAUAAAUGUUAACCUAGAUAAUAAUUCAUACAAGUAAAUUCAUGACACCCUAAAACUAGAGAGUUUAGUCAGCUUUGAAAUACAUACUUACAUACGAAUUUGCUCCCAUAAAAUUAUUGAAGUAAUGAAUUAGAAAAACUCUAAUGCCUUAUAUAAAUACUCUUUCCCUUCAGUGGAAUUCAUCGAUCUUCUCUCGGUCAACGCCUCGGGAUAUCAAAUGGUCUCCAAAAUUCUUGACAGUACUGUUGAACUUUCUCUAAUUCUCACUUUUAGAGCUUUAAUUCUUACUCUUUGCAUUUCGUGCCUUAAAGAACUAAAGAGUGAGAGUCCCAUAAUUUAUAGAGAAGUGGUCACUUGAAGUCCAAAUUCUUACCACAACUAUAUAUUCUUCAAAUUAGGAAAGCUGGCAGUGGCACAGCCUUGCUCAGAAAGCAUUGUGUAGCAUCACAAUGCUCUUCAUACUUUUUUUAAUUAUAUUGCUCUCAAGUUGUAUAAACAUAUAAAUCAUUUAAUCAAAAGAUUAGGGAGGUUCAAAUUCUUAUCAUAUACAUAUUGUACGUUAGUUAACAACAAAAUGCGAAUUAACAAUUCACUUAGGUUUCAUUCCAUCUAUAACCUUUUAACAUCUCAUUUCCAUUAAUCCACUAUCUACUUUUUAAGAAAAUAUUUUUAAAUCUAAGUCAAAUUUUGAAAACCAACCAAAGUUAGAUUUUUAAAGCAUAUAUAUUUU